rnacentral:rRNA from 1 species
AACGAACGCUGGCGGCAUGCCUAACACAUGCAAGUCGAACGAGACCUUCGGGUCUAGUGGCGCACGGGUGCGUAACUCAUUGGAACCUGCCCUUCGGUUCGGAAUAACUCCCCGAAAUGGGUGCUAAUACGGGAUAAUGCCUUCGUACAAAGGUUUUAUCGCCUUUGGAUGUGCACGGGUUGGCUUAGCUAGUUGGUAGGGGAAAAGUCUACCAAGGCGACGAUCCAGAGCUGGUAUGAGAGGAUGAUCAGCCACACUGGGACUGAGACACGGCCCAGACUCCUACGGGAGGCAGCAGUAGGGAAUAUUGGACGAUGGGCGAAAGCGUGAUCCAGCAAUGCCGCGUGAGUGAUGAAGGCCUUAGGAUUGUAAAGCCCGUUUACCCGGGAUGAUAAUGACAGUACCGGGAGAAUAAGCUCCGGCUAACUACGUG